rnacentral:rRNA from 1 species
GUGGCAGCAGCCGCGGUAAUACGGGAGUGGCAAGCGUUAUCCGGAAUUAUUGGGCGUAAAGCGUCCGCAGGCGGCCUGUUAAGUCUGUCGUUAAAGCGUGGAGCUUAACUCCAUUUAAGCGAUGGAAACUAACAGGCUUGAGUGUGGUAGGGGCAGAGGGAAUUCCCGGUGUAGCGGUGAAAUGCGUAGAUAUCGGGAAGAACACCAGUGGCGAAGGCGCUCUGCUGGGCCAUAACUGACGCUCAUGGACGAAAGCCAGGGGAGCGAAAGGGAUUAGAUACCCUAGUAGUC